GGUAUCACAAAUGGGAAAGAGUUGCUAUUGGCAUCUAGUGAACGGAGGCCAAGGAUACUGCUCCAGAUUCUAAAAUGCUCAUGACAGCCCUUCACAGCACAGAAUUUUCCAGCCACAGACGUCAUCAGUGUCCUCAUCUGUAAACCCUUCCAUCGCACACCACCUGAUCAGAGCAAGGACUUCGAAAGCAUCUCACUGAAACCAAAGAUGGUAUACGAACUCCUGGAGCCUUGGAGGGUGGUGGUGAAGAGCCCAGCAGAGCUCACACUCUGACCUGGAGACGCUACUUCGAGGAAUUCAUAAAGAUACACAGACAAGGAUAAUGGCUAACAUACUGCUGCUAAAAAAAGAACGAAAAGGAACCUGAAAUACCCAUCAAUAGAAUGGGUACAUACAUAAAAAUGCUACAGAGCUAUUCUACAAAGUUGAUGUGCAUCCAUACAGAUUAAUAUGGAAUGGUAUCAAUAAGAAAGUAAAAAAGCCACAAUUCUCCAGGUGAUAUGAGCCUAUUAGCAUAUGCAUGCGUGCAUUUGCAUG